AUCAUGUUUUCCCCGAGUAGCAGCGGGCUCGUGAAAUCUGCUGUGAAUCUGCCGGGACCACCCGGUAAGCCUAAAUACCCAGUGUGACCGAUAGUGAAUAGUACCGUGAGGGAAUGGUGAAAAGUACCCCGGGAGGGGAGUGAAAGAGUUCCUGAAACCAUGCGCUUACAAUCCGUCAGAGCACCGUUUGUGUGUGAUGGCGUGCCUUUUGAAGAAUGAGCCUGCGAGUCAGCGGCAUGUCGCGAGGUUAACCCGUUGUGUGGGGUAGUCGUAG
rnacentral:rRNA from 1 species